UACAUUACAGGAAGGGUCCUUUCUCUUUGGGCUUCCACCUUUCUUUCCCCUGAAGUUCUCAUUUACCUGCCAAACAAAAAUUUAUAUUUAUGGAGAGAGACAAUGAUGACCUUUACUGAUGAAAGCUUUAAGACUUACAGCAGUGUGAAAAAAAAACCAACACUGGUUUGAUUUAAUUUUAAAAUUAUUAGGUUCCAGACAUCUCUCCUCCGUCUGCCUUCAUUUUAGCAAAAACGUCCCCUUCACCUCCUUGCCUCCUCUACCGCUAUAAUUAAACUAUUAAUAAACAUUAAUUAAUUUAAAUCA